UACGUAGGGGGCAAGCGUUGUCCGGAAUCAUUGGGCGUAAAGAGCGUGUAGGCGGCCCGGUAAGUCUGCUGUGAAAGUCCAGGGCUCAACCCUGGGAUGCCGGUGGAUACUGUCGGGCUCGAGUCCGGAAGAGGAGUGUGGAAUUCCUGGUGUAGCGGUGAAAUGCGCAGAUAUCAGGAGGAACACCAAUGGCGAAGGCAGCACUCUGGGACGUGACUGACGCUGAGACGCGAAAGCGUGGGGAGCAAACAGG
rnacentral:rRNA from 1 species